GCAAACAUUCAUGAAUCCUGGGUCCCCUUGAGUUCUAUGCCCAGGUGCAGAAUCCUUCACCAUGCUCUGGAGCAAAUGCAGACCCAGGUGAAGCUCCUAGAAGCAUGGAGGCUUUCUUCAUCUAGACACUUGUGAACUGAAAAGACAAGUUCCCUGUCCAGCCCCACCAAUGUAUAAUGAGGAAACAAACAGCAUUCUUGUUAGAGACUCGGAAGUGAUUGAUGGCAGUUGCCAGCUAACAGCAAUUCUGAUUUCCAGCUGACAUGGAGGAGCAACACGAUCCUGACAGCAAGCAAAGAAAAUGCUUAGAAGAGCAGAGAUUCAUGGUGUUCAUAGUAACUGCAGGAAGACAACAUGAGUGUAUCACAGAUGAGUCAGAAGAAAGACUGCUGGUGAAGCCUGAAGGUGAAAGACAAGGGCAGAGACUAUGAACAGAGUGAGAUGGUUGGAGCUCUGCUCCCAUCCUAGGAGAAUAAAUGGGACACCCUGGAGGUGAAACAACCCUAUUUUAUAGGUACGAGACCUACAAGUGGUAUCUCUUGUGGCAUGAACAAAUGUCUAUUUACUCCAGAUAAGGCACCAAUGACAUAUCAAAGAAACAAUUGCAUCAGUCUCUCUUGGUAAGUCGGUGAAUUUAAAUGGAAUUAUAUACAGAAGCGUAAAUAGAGGGUUACUUACAAGGGCAUAGGCAACUCAUGGGUAGCUACACCACUGAAGAAGAGCC
rnacentral:lncRNA from 1 species